CAUCGUUGGGCAUACUUAACGCA
rnacentral:snRNA from 1 species